GAUGAACGCUGGCGGCGUGCCUAAUACAUGCAAGUCGAGCGAACGGACGAGAAGCUUGCUUCUCUGAUGUUAGCGGCGGACGGAUGAGUAACACGUGGAUAACCUACCUAUAAGACUGGGAUAACUUCGGGAAACCGGUGCUGAUAACGGAUAAUAUUUUGAACCGCAUGGUUCAAAAGUGAAAGACGGCCUUGCUGUUACUUAUAGAUGGAUUCGCGCUGCAUUAGCUAGUUGGUAAGGUAACGGCUUACCAAGGCAACGAUGCAUAGCCGACCUGAGAGGGUGAUCGGCCACACUGGAACUGAGACACGGUCCAGACUCCUACGGGAGGCAGCAGUAGGGAAUCUUCCGCAAUGGGCGCAAGCCUGACGGAGCAACGCCGCGUGAGUGAUGAAGGUCUUCGGAUCGUAAAACUCUUUUAUUAGGGAAGAACAUAUGUGUAAGUAACUGUGCACAUCCUGACGGUACCUAAUCAGAAAGCCACGGCUAACUACGUG
rnacentral:rRNA from 1 species